UUUUAUUCAUAAUCAGUUUUACAUUACUGUACAUGUGCAGGUGUACCCCGAAAACCGACAUCCCAUUGACAGCCGAUUGACGUAACUGACAAUUACAUAUAGGGAAAUACCCUGCAAGUUUUGGUAAUACACCGGAGAUCCGGCGAUCGGGGUGGGAGCGGCAGAGCUCUCUUGAAUUUGGUGGCUGAUGGCGUGGUGUGAAUUCUUGCCACCAGAGGGUUCUGUGCACUGCUCUGACUCAUUCCUGCCAUCUUUGCUCUUGUUUACACUUACUAUGUGUCUCUGACUUCACGUUUUUUCAUUAUUUCCGACUUAGUGAGUUACUCAAUCAUACCUAAAUGCCCCAGUGAUAGUUCCUGUUGUGCUGGGUGUACUGACCAUGGUCGUACAUGUUAGUUAACGUAAAAUCAGAUGAUCCAUAUUACACUCAAUAGCCCAUAAAACAUGUACGUACUGUAGCUGUGAUUUCUUUAAUGUGUCCCCAUUUGAGACGUCCGUUUUCUCACUGCUUCAGUGCGCCUGAGUCCUCCGUUUUCUCUCAUGUACCUCAGACACUCGGAUAUUUCUUAAUAACCUCAUAUGGUGCAUACAGCACAGAGCGGCAGCAGCCAGACUUCUCUGAAUAGGCUGGGUGGCUGGCAGAACUGUGUAGCUCACUUUUGGCAUCACCAAGAAGAUGGUUUGAGGACAGAAAGAUCUAUUUUUUUGGCGGAAGAAGGCGGACUAUAUAAGGAGCUUCAGAGGCGAUGCGACGGCAGUAGGCAUAGACGGGGAACCGCUGCCGGUCGUCUCUCUCACCUGACACGCCAUUCUUCAAAUGAAUAACGACUGAUUCAGUUGGUUGUUACCGAGGUGUUAAAAGCCAGUUUGCUGCAUCAGUGGUCGUUAGCGUGGAUAGUACAGCACCUUAUUUAUUGAGGAUGAUGACUUGGAGGAUGCAAGAAAUGGCCAGAAGAGUUUUUUCUGGUGAACUGAUUAUUGCUGCACUGCACCAGGAACACAAGUCAGGUUCUGGACCUUGUCAAGGAGAGGUGUGCACUCUGCUGUACCACACAUCUUGUACUGCUGUACUAGGCUUCUCUCCUCCAAUAUCAGGAUGGCAAGUGAUUCACAACACAACUAAAGGAAGCAGGUGGUACAGCCCAGACCCCAGCCUUCCACCCCUCCUCUCUACCUCAGAAAUGUUGUUCUGAACACUGGAGUGCCGUGCUGCCCUAGACUGUGCUUACUGGCUACUGCCUUGGAUUUCCCUGUAUUUGCUUGCUGGCUGCUACCCUGGACGGCUCUGCUCUGUGCUUGCUGGCUACUGCCCUGGACGGCUCUGCUCUGUGCUUGCUGGCUGCUGCCCUGGACGGCUCUGCUCUGUGCUUGCUGG